GUGAAUUAUAGGGCGUCUACUUGUAGAGCCUGACCUCCACUUCUAACACUGUGCACUUGAUGGCGAGGUAAUUAUGAUUAGGCUUUCGGGCUUAUGAUGAGAACCUUGCGGCUUCAUUUUAAACAUUAGUCAAAGUAUGUAAAGAAAUUUAAAACAAAAAA
rnacentral:misc_RNA from 1 species